UACAGAGGUGGCAAGCGUUGUUCGGAAUUACUGGGCGUAAAGGGCGCGUAGGCGGCUCGACAAGUCCCGCGUGAAAGCCCCCGGCUCAACUGGGGAACUGCGCGGGAAACUGUCGGACUUGAGUUCGGGAGAGGGAAGCGGAAUUCCGGGUGUAGUGGUGAAAUGCGUAGAUAUCGGGAGGAACACCAGUGGCGAAGGCGACUUCCUGGCCUGUUCUUGACGCUGAGGCGCGAAAGCUAGGGUAGCAAACGGG
rnacentral:rRNA from 1 species